rnacentral:lncRNA from 1 species
GGACAGUGGGCGGGACUAAGGGGGCCACCUGCAGACACACCCUGGCUUCGGGACCGUCUUCCUUCUCUUCCCCCUCGGGGCCUAGAGGAGGCCACGCGCGGGGUCUCCGAGCUCUAGGGUCCGGAGCUCUAGGGUCCUUUUAUGUAGCAAAGUCAGGCCUGGGAACAGAACUUCAUGUGCUUGUAAAAAGUCUCAGGUGCGUCCUCGUUGUUUUAGAGACUUGGAGAGGAAUGGGGGCGGGGGGAACAAAAUCCGAGGACAGUCGAGCCAAGAAAAGUCGGGGCUUCUAGGAUGCCAACCACGCCAAACAGAUCAAAACCAGGACUGGAGGACUGAAGAUGAAGCCGGCAAAAAGUCACCAGCCACGGCUCUUGUAAGGUGACCCCUGUGAAAGGAUUAUUUGACCCCCCUCCCCCAAGGGGUCACGACAUACUGGCUGAGAACCACUGCUCUAGAAGGACAUGCUCUUACCUCAGUUUUCAUGAGGUAUGCUUCACCUCUCCUGCUAAGUCUUCAUCCCUGUCUAUGAGGACAAAGAAGUUACGGGUUAAAUUGGCGAUGGGCCAGGCGCUCCUUGAGGAUGCUCUAAAGAGGACCUGGGUUCGAUUCCUAGCACUGACAUUGUGACUCACAGCCUCCUGUAAUUUCAGUUCCAGGGAAUCUGAUGCCUUCUUCUAACCAUCACGAAGACAAAGUUGGUGAUAGAAAAUGGGAGAACUGAAGACAACCACUUUAUAAAACCCUUGCCUGCUUGAAUUUGUGGUGAUUUUUGCGAGUGCGAUGGGCGGGAGAAGAAAGGCGCGCAGCCUGAACUGUCUGUCUAGAUGGAGCACUACUGCCAUCGUGAGGAGAGCUGUCAGAAGACACCGGCACAGGAAGUGAAGGGGCAGGAUCGCCACUCCUCCCAGUUUGCUCUGAACUGUGAGCCCCACUGAAAGGGUCAGCUUUCUUUGGUGCUCUGGCUCAGACAGCACUGUCACGAUUGAACUUGGGGCCUCAGGCCUUGGGGCCUUCCCUGAGGUGGGGAAGUGAGUCCUCUACCACAGAGCCAUACAUGAAGGGCAUUUUCCUUUUGAAGCAAGGCCUCCCAGUGUUGCUUCGCUUGCCCAGGAAUUUACUCUGUUGAUCCGGCUGCUCUGAAAAGUAAGAUCCAGAGCCCAAGUGCUCAGCUGUGCUGAGUUUCCAGCCCGCUCAGCUGGCCAUGAACCGGCCCCUGGGAUUUGCUGCUCAGAACCUGAGUUCACUGAGACAUCAGGAGCAAGCACUGGAGGCCGGGUGCUGCUGGAUCCUGAUGGGAGCCAUGCAGGACUUGACCAUGGCCUGCACACACUUCUUCCCAGGAGAAGGGGAAUGAGGAAGGAAUCAUGGGAAGGAGGAGAAUGGCACUGAGAGUUUUGAAACCGUGUCCUCGGACUGGCCCCUGGGAUUUGCUGCUCAGUUCACUGAGACAUCAGGAGCAAGCACUGGAGGCCGGUGCUGCUGGACCCAGAUGGGAGCCAUGCAGGACUUGACCAUGGCCUGCAUACACUUCUUCCCAGGAGAAGGGGAAUGAGGAAGGCAGACUGGCAUCACAGGACAUUUUAGAGCAUUACUGUACACCCUGGUGACUGAGGUCCAUUAUCAAGUGUGCAGCGGUGCUGAGGUCCAGGGACAGGAAGCAGAAGGGCGGGUUCCAGCCCGCUCAGCUGGCCAUGGUUCCCAAACAAUCUGACUCCUACAAUCCUCCCUUUAAUGGGUUUCCUGGCUCUACUUAGGAUAACACCACUCUGAUGACUCUUGGGUGGCGUGGAUCGAACUGGACGAUGAAUUUUAACCUCCACACCACAAGCACUGGGGUAGAAGACUGCUGCUGGGUGAAGAAGAGACUAGACUUGAUCAUUGAGCAGCCACUCACUGAUAUCUUCAGUGCUGCAUGAGGAACUGGUGAAGAUACAGAUGGAUGCUCUGGCUGAGUCGCUACCUUGAAAUGAAAAUGGGAGGUAAACUCUCCCAUAGAUGAAUCUUCCUCAUUUUGAAGGUAAAGAGUAGUGGGGACACAAUGCCAGAACCGGCCCCUGAGAUUUGCUGCUCAGAACCUGAGUUCACUGAGACAUAGGGAGCAAGCACUGGAGAUCCGGUGCUGCUGGACCCAGGUGGGCGCCAUGCAGGACUUGACCAUGGCCUGCACACACUUCUUCCCAGGAGAAGGGGAGUGAGGAAGAACCGGCCCCUGGGAUUUGCUGCUCAGAACCUGAGUUCACUGAGACAUCAGGAGCAAGCACUGGAGGUCGGGUGCUGCUGGACCCAGGUGGGCGCCAUGCAGGACUUGACCAUGGCCUGCACACACUUCUUCCCAGGAGAAUGGGAGUGAGGAAGGCAGACUAGCAUCACAGAACCUUUCAGAGUAUUAACGCUGACCAUGGUGACUGAGGUCCAUUAUCAAGUGCGCAGCUGUGCUGAGGUACAGGGACAGGAGGCAGAAGGGCGGGAAUCAUGGGAAGGAGGAGAAUGGCACUGUGAGUUUUGAAACCGUGUCCGAACCGGCCCCUGGGAUUUGCUGCUCAGAACCUGAGUUCACUGAGACAUCAGGAGCAAGCACUGGAGGCCAGGUGCUGCUGGACCCAGAUGGGAGCCAUGCAGGACUUGACCAUGGCCUGCACACACUUCUUCCCAGGAGAAGGGGUGCAGGGACAGGAAGCAGAAGGGCAGGUUCCAGCCCGCUCAGCUGGCCAUGGACUGGCCCCUGGGAUUUGCUGCUCAGGACCUGAGUUCACUGAGACAUCAGGAGCAAGCACUGGAGGCUGGGUGCUGCUGGACCCAGAUGGGAGCCAUGCAGGACUUGACCAUGGCCUGCACACACUUCUUCCCAGGAGAAGCCUAGAACUGGCCCCUGGGAUUUGCUGCUCAGAACCUGAGUUCACUGAGACAUCAGGAGCAAGCACUGGAGGCCGGGUGCUGCUGGACCCAGAUGGGAGCCAUGCAGGACUUGACCAUGGCCUGCACACACUUCUUCCCAGGAGAAGGGGAAUGAGGAAGGCAGACUGUCAUCACAGGACCCUUCAGAGUAUUAACUCAGACCCUGGUGACAGAGGUCUAGUACCAAGUGCACAGCGGUGCUGAGGUGCUGGGACAGGAAGCAGAAGGGCAGGUUCCAGCCCGAUCAGCUGGCCAUUGCUCCUGCUGUCGGUAAUUGGCAGCCAUCUUCUGCCAUUGCUAAGAAUCAUGGGAAGGAAGCUCGAACUAGAUCCUAAGAGCAGAAGACAAUCAUAUGUCCUGAGAACCCAUUGGAGGUUGAACAGCGCUGGGUGGAUGGAGAAAGGCAGAAAUGCAGAAUUUCGUCAUUGCCUGGAUGCUGACUUUAUCCAAAGAGAAGAUGCAUGAGGAGUGUACAUGCCUCAGGUCUCACUUGGCUUUCUCUUUCCUUCUUGCUUUGUUCUGGUUUUGGUCUUUUGUCCUUUGGAGUUCCAAGUCAGGAGGAGUUGUAGUUGGUCUGGCAUACAUGUAAAAUGAAAGCAGAAGGGGGCCUGCAGGAAAGGCUUCCUCAACUCACUUGGAAGGAGGAAGGCAAGGCUGCCACCACCAUUACUGGACUCCAAUUGUAGUUGCUUUUUUUUUUUUAAUCGGAAAGGCGGGAGCAGGCUGCUGUGAGCUGGUUUUUGUUUCUUCUGUAGAGCAACACUGCCAUCGUGCGGAACAUAUUGCAUACAUACCUGAAUGCAGGUCUCUUUCUCUAUGGUGGACUAACAAAUAGGAAGGAAGGCUAUGGUCUGAGAGAACUGGAUGCUGAGACAUGCCCCCGCGAUCCCAAGACCACCAGGUACCGUGAGCAAUCACUGGAGCUGGAACACUGCUGCCUGAGGAAGAGAAGAAGUGCAGGCUUGUCAUUGUCUAUGCUGUUACUUGUGGUUCCCGGGUCUUCAGAGAGGAUGCACAAGAACGGGAGGUGGGUGCUUCAGACCUGGGAUUUGCUGCUCAGGACCCGAGUUCACUGAGACAUCAGGAGCAAGCACUGGAGGCCGGUGCUGCUGGAUCCAGAUGGGAGCCAUGCAGGACUUGACCAUGGCCUGCACACACUUCUUCCCAGGAGAAGGGGAAUGAGGAACUUACAUAUGGCAUUGAUAUAAAAUGCAAAACAGAAGGUAAAUUCUAGGAGUACAGCAUUGCAAGCUUCUGACACAGACAAGGAAGGCUAGAACUGCACAGUUAGUGGACACUACGUCUGCAUUGAUUUUUCUUUCAGACUGUGAAGGCGGGGACAGAGAGCUGCAGUCAAGACACCUUCCCUGCUCUGGGGCAACACUGCCAUCAUGGGAAAAUGUUUUCUGUAGACCAGCACAGGCAGACUGGCAUCACAGGACCCUUCAGAGUAUUAAUGCAGACCUUCGUGACAGAGGUCCAGUACCAAGUGCUCAGCGGUGCUAAGGUCCAGGGACAGGAGGCAGAAGGGCGGGUUCCAGCCCGCUCAGCUGGCCAUGGUAAAAUACUAGCUGGUGUCCUAGGGCAGCAAGGCGCCUCCCUCUCCAGGUUAUGAAAACAUUGCAGUCUGAGUUUCUGUUGGGACCUGAGAAGAAGUCAAGGAAGCCCUGCAAGGCACUCACAGCUGCUCCUGCUGUCUGUAAUCGGCCGCCAUCUUCCUUCAUUCUCUGGUGACUGAGGUCCAGGAACAGGAAGCAGAGGGGCAGGUUCCACCCCGCUCAGCUGGCCAUGGAAUCAUGAGCAGGAGGAGAGUGGCGCUGUGAGUUUUGAAACCGUGUCCUCAUGGUGGCAGUAGAGCUCCAAACAAGAGCUGAACCGGCCCCUGGGAUUUGCUGCUCAGGACCCGAGUUCAGUGAGACAUCAGGAGCAAGCACUGGAGGCCGGUGCUGCUGGACCCAGAUGGGAGCCAUGCAGGACUUGACCAUGGCCUGCACACACUUCUUCCCAGGAGAAGGGGGACUGCUGCUGGGUGAAGAAGAGACUAGACUUGAUCAUUGAGCAGCCACUCACUGAAUACAGAUGGAUGCUCUGGCUGAGUCGCUACCUUGAAAUGAAAAUGGGAGGUAAACUCUCCCAUAGAUGAAUCUUCUUCAUUUUGAAGGUAAAGGGACUGGCCCCUGGGAUUUUCUGCUCAGGACCCGAGUUCACUGAGACAUCAGGAGCAAGCACUGGAGGCCGGUGCUGCUGGACCCAGAUGGGCGCCAUGCAGGACUUGACCAUGGCCUGCACACACUUCUUCCCAGGAGAAGGGGAAUGAGGAAAGUGGGGGGCCUCAAAGCUUCCUUUCCUUUCUGUUUGUCUUGCUAUGUUUUUAUAUUCCUUUUUAUCCAUUUAAUUAUUUAGUACAAAAUCAGGUCCAGUCUCCUUAGAUAUGGCAUUGAUAUAAAGUGUAAAAUGGAAGCUAAAUUCUAGGAGUACAGCAUUGCAUGCUUCUGACAGAGACAAGGAAGGCUAGAAUCACACAGUUAGUGGACACUGCAACUAUAUUGACAUUUUUUUUUUUUUAGACUGUGAAGGUGGGGACAGAUUGCUGCACUCAGAACACCUUCCCUGCUCUGGGGAAACAAACACUGUCAUCAUGGGGAAAAUGUUUCCUGUAGACCCACACAAGCACACACCCCUCCUCCUACAUCCAGCUUCUCCUCAGCCAUUUUGAAGCAGGGAAGAUCAGGGGGAUUCAUGAAUGGCGAAAUUUGGCCUUUUUUAGUGUAUUUCUCUCCUUCUGUAGGCAGACUGGCAUCACCUGACCCUUCAGAGUAUUAACUCAGACCCUGGUGACUGAGGUCCAGUACCAAGUGCUCAGCUGGGCUGCGGUGCAGGGACAGGAAGCAGAAGGGCAGAUUCAACCCCCCUCAGCUGGCCAUGCUAAUCUACUAGCUGGUGUCCUAGGGCAGCAAGGCGCCUCCCUCUCCAGGAUCUGAUGAGAAAACACUGCAGUUCCAGUUUCUUUCGGGGCUUGAAGAGAAGUCAAGGAAGCCCUGCAAGGCACUCACAGCUGAUCAUGCUUUCUGUAAUCGCCCUCCAUCUUCCUUCAUUGCUAGGAAUCAUUGGAAGGACAACAGCGGAGCUGUGAGUUUUGAAACCGCGUCCUCAUGGGGGCAGUAGAGGUCCACACAAGAGCUGAACUGGCCCCUGGGAUUUGCUGCUCAGAACCUGAGUUCACUGAGACAUCAGGAGCAAGUACUGGAGGCCGGUGCUGCUGGACCCAGAUGGGAGCCAUGCGGGACUUGACCAUGGCCUGCACACACUUCUUCCCAGGAGAAGGGGAGUGAGGAAGAGCAGAAGUGUGGGCACCAGUAAUGGCUUGGAGCUGAAAAGGAAGACCAAAGUCCAACAGUAGAUCUUCUAAGGACAAGCUGACACAUCUUGCACGCGCUCAACUGGCCAGGAAGAACGAACCGGCCCCUGGGAUUUGCUGCUCAGGACCCGAGUUCACUGAGACAUCAGGAGCAAGCACUGGAGGCCGGGUGCUGCUGGACCCAGAUGGGAGCCAUGCAGGACUUGACCAUGGCCUGCACACACUUCUUCCCAGGAGAAGGGGAAUGAGGAAGGGCCCUGGCCAUUAGGCUUCUGGAAAAGGAUUGGGCAUUACUUUUGUUCUACAACCUGAGGAGAGAACUGAACCCUACCUGGACAUCGGUGCAGAACUAGAGGGUGACAUGGACCAGCAGCAAUGAGGCUAUUGAAUACCAUAGGCUAUUGAAUACCUGUAGGUGCUUGUGUAUCCCGGCAGUGUGCCUGCCAAGGUCCAAGGACAAUCUAGAGGUGGUGUUUAUGUCCUUCAAAGAGGGUGCUGGAGAUGGAGCAGAGGUACCCAGGCGUACAUGUAAUCCCAGUACCACAAAGGGUGGUUGUCAACCAGAGGACACUGCAUAAAUUCAUACGUAAAGAAAUGAGUAAAAAGCACUUGGAUUUGUGAUUCACGGGCUUGCUUUCUACUUUUCUCUUCACCUACUGGGCAAAUAUCACUGAGAACAUCAAGCCUGAGCACACAGGCUUCAGAGGGAAUUUAUCUAGACAAAAGAGAGGCAUCCUGAUGGUGAAGGAUAGUGGUUUGAGGUCUUUGCUUUGAAUUGCGAAUAUAAAAGUAAAAUGGCCUCCUAGUAAAACUAAUUGCCUGAGUCUGCAGAGGAGAGAAGGCAGGCAUUUUUCUUGUCUUUUUUUUUUUUUUUCCAGACCAAAUGGGCAGGGGAAUAGGUUGUAAGAAGGCAGUGUAGAGCUUGUCUAGAGCUCUACUGCCCCCAAGAGGAAUUAGUUUCCACAGGACACCAGCAGUUUCUUUCCCAUAGGCCCUUGCUAGGAGGAGGGCUGGACUUUGACCUGAAGCUCAUUGUCUUCCCAGGCACCAGGAGAUGUCAGGAAGCUGGUAUAAAUCCUCAUGGGACUUGAAGGGCGAGUGGCCUGAAGUGGGUCACAAGUGAUCAGGGAUUCUCAAACUGCUGUUCCCAGCUUGCAUUUAAAAAUGGGAAAUAACUCAAAAGACAAUUGCAAACUCUCUGCAGUCAAGAUGGCUCCUGCUUGUAAUCUCAGUGUUCAGAAGUACUAUACCUGCUGGAUCCAGAACUGCGGCAGGGUAAGACCAGCCAGGACAAGCCAGUGCCAGGUGGCACAGGUGUUUGGAAAAGGCCUGACGUGUACCCAACUGUGUGAAGGAAUGGGGGACCCAAAACACAGGGCAAAGAAUUAUGCUUCCAUCCACGAGAGCAAAGGUCUGGAUCCCCUAGGGUUGCCACCAGGAUCACCAGAAAGUUUGUUAAAUAGAGAAGCACUUGAUAGAAGGCACCUGGAUAAGGAUGGACAGAAAUCAGAGGCCUUGGCUAUCUGGAUUCUGACUUCUUCAAAAAGAUGAGAUGAUAGAUGAGGAAAGCCCGUCCGUGGUGUUAGAGACUUUGGCCCCACACCCAUGCCGUGCAGCUCUGCCAGGGCCUACCUGCUUGACUCAACCCUUUUUGUUCCCUCACCCUCUCUGGGUAACUGAGAGAUUUAUACCUUGGCUAUCCUGGGAAUGUCUUUCUAAACUAAUAAAAUUGUUCUUGAGUUUCCUUCUG